UACGGAGGGUGCAAGCGUUAUCCGGAUUUACUGGGCUUAAAGGGUGCGUAGGUGGGUCUGUAAGUCAGUGGUGAAAUCUCCGAGCUUAACUCGGAAACUGCCAUUGAUACUAUAGGUCUUGAAUUAUCUGGAGGUAAGCGGAAUAUGUCAUGUAGCGGUGAAAUGCUUAGAUAUGACAUAGAACACCAAUUGCGAAGGCAGCUUACUACGGAUAUAUUGACACUGAGGCACGAAAGCGUGGGGAUCAAACAGG
rnacentral:rRNA from 1 species